ACCCCUUCACAAUCUAGAACCUGAAGAUUGGAUCUUCCAAAAACAUCAGAAAAAGACUGCCCUUGCCAUCCACAUUGCAGCAAACUUUGAAACCUUGAACCUUGGGUUAAUAAUCUUACAACUGAGAAAGGCCCCUCCACACUCUUAGAACCUCACAUGCAUUGGAACCCUUAAGAUUGAAUAAGAAGAGAAGAAAUCCUUAUUUUUCAGCCCAAGACACUAACCGGGAUUAAGCCUAUGUCAUUUGCUCUUCAAAGUCUGGGUUUUCUUUCAGAAACACACUGGACAUUAUAUGGGAAUAACACUUAGAGACUGGGCUGUGGAGAAGACCAAAGAGUCUGCUACAAUAUAUUAGCAAAUAAAUUCUCUUACUUCUAACAUAAA